UAUGUACUCCCUCCGUUCGGAGUUACUUGUCACAAAAAUGGAUGUAUCUAUAACUAAAAUGCAUCUAGAUACAUUCAUUUCUUGGACGAGUAAUUUCGAAUGGAGGGAGUAACAG
rfam:Triticum aestivum genome assembly, contig: Triticum_aestivum_CS42_TGACv1_scaffold_486564_6AS